GUCGAGCGAACGGACGAGAAGCUUGCUUCUCUGAUGUUAGCGGCGGACGGGUGAGUAACACGUGGAUAACCUACCUAUAAGACUGGGAUAACUUCGGGAAACCGGAGCUAAUACCGGAUAAUAUUUUGAACCGCAUGGUUCAAAAGUGAAAGACGGUCUUGCUGUCACUUAUAGAUGGAUCCGCGCUGCAUUAGCUAGUUGGUAAGGUAACGGCUUACCAAGGCAACGAUGCAUAGCCGACCUGAGAGGGUGAUCGGCCACACUGGAACUGAGACACGGUCCAGACUCCUACGGGAGGCAGCAGUAGGGAAUCUUCCGCAAUGGGCGAAAGCCUGACGGAGCAACGCCGCGUGAGUGAUGAAGGUCUUCGGAUCGUAAAACUCUGUUAUUAGGGAAGAACAUAUGUGUAAGUAACUGUGCACAUCUUGACGGUACCUAAUCAGAAAGCCACGGCUAACUACGUGCCAGCAGCCGCGGUAAUACGUAGGUGGCAAGCGUUAUCCGGAAUUAUUGGGCGUAAAGCGCGCGUAGGCGGUUUUUUAAGUCUGAUGUGAAAGCCCACGGCUCAACCGUGGAGGGUCAUUGGAAACUGGAAAACUUGAGUGCAGAAGAGGAAAGUGGAAUUCCAUGUGUAGCGGUGAAAUGCGCAGAGAUAUGGAGGAACACCAGUGGCGAAGGCGACUUUCUGGUCUGUAACUGACGCUGAUGUGCGAAAGCGUGGGGAUCAAACAGGAUUAGAUACCCUGGUAGUCCACGCCGUAAACGAUGAGUGCUAAGUGUUAGGGG
rnacentral:rRNA from 1 species